rnacentral:misc_RNA from 1 species
UUGAAUAACUUGGUGUUGAGCUGGCCCUAUUGGGCAUGUGCUCGCAUCAUAUUAUUUAUCUAUCUCUUGUGCACCUUUUGUAGUCUUUGGAGCGCUCGCAGUCAAUGCGGUUUUGGGACUUGGGCUUUGCCCUUUUCCCUGUUUGCUUCAAAGGCUAUGUUUUAUACACACUAUUGAAGUUACAGAAUGUCUCUUAUUGACUUUUGAGUCAGUAAAUCUAUA